GAUGAAGAACGUAGCGAAAUGCGAUAAGUAAUGUGAAUUGCAGAAUUCAGUGAAUCAUCGAAUCCUUGAACGCACAUUGCGCCCAUUAGCAUUCUAGUGGGCAUGCCUGUUCGAGCGUCAUUUCAACCCUUAAGCCCUGUUGCUUAGCGUUGGGAGCCUACAGUACUGUAGCUCCCCAAAGUUAGUGGCGGAGUCGGUUUCACACUCUAGACGUAGUAAUUUUUUCUCGUCUGUAGUUGAGCCGGUCCCCUGCCGUAAAACACCCAAUUUAUCAAGGUUGACCUCGGAUCAGGUAGGAAUACCCGCUGAACUUAAGCAUAUCAAUAAGCGGAGGA
rnacentral:misc_RNA from 1 species